AGAACAUUCGGACUGUCUGUCUACCGAGCAAUAUCACCCGCUCGGGGAAAAAUAUUUCCCUCCGUCGU
rnacentral:pre_miRNA from 1 species